rnacentral:rRNA from 1 species
AUUGAACGCUGGCGGCAUGCUUUACACAUGCAAGUCGAACGGCAGCGCGGGCUUCGGCCUGGCGGCGAGUGGCGAACGGGUGAGUAAUACAUCGGAACGUGCCCAGUAGUGGGGGAUAGCUCGGCGAAAGCCGGAUUAAUACCGCAUACGACCUGAGGGUGAAAGCGGGGGAUCUUCGGACCUCGCGCUAUUGGAGCGGCCGAUGGCAGAUUAGCUAGUUGGUGGGGUAAAGGCCUACCAAGGCGACGAUCUGUAGCUGGUCUGAGAGGACGACCAGCCACACUGGGACUGAGACACGGCCCAGACUCCUACGGGAGGCAGCAGUGGGGAAUUUGGACAAUGGGCGAAAGCCUGAUCCAGCAAUGCCGCGUGUGUGAUGAAGGCCUUCGGGUUGUAAAGCACUUUUGGCGGGAACGAAAAGGACUGUGCCAAUACCACGGUUCGAUGACGGUACCCGCAGAAUAAGCACCGGCUAACUACGUG